CAGAGAUAGCUCAUAGUUCAGUAGCUGUUCAUGGUAUUUCACCACCUUCAGGAGAUCUGCAGCCUGUUAGAAGGACAACUAGAGGGCAGACAGCAGAGCCCUAAUGCAGUCCUAUGGUUUGGUAAAGCAUUAAGAAAUUGUGGCACAUGAUUAUCACUGCACUCUUGGGAAGGCAGGCCUUACUGUGCAUAGCCACUGGCACUGAACCAGAAGAGUGAAAGCUGUAAAUUGGAACUUCGGGAAGAGUGACUUGAACUAAUGUAGUGGAGAAGUCUGGCCUUCUGCUGAAACAGAUAACCUUUCCUUCCUGAGAUAACAUUAAAAUAGCAUUCUUCCCUCUUGGAAGAGCUGUACGUUUAGAGAUCAUGGCCAUUGUACGCUCACCUUGAAUCCAGCUAUGAAAUCAUGCAACACGCUUGUUCUCUGGUGAAAGUCAUAAACCAACAAGGUAGUGAAUAAAUAUCACUGUGA